GGGGACUGAUCUUUACGUUGCCCUGUGAUCCAGGCACGUAAACCUUUCAGGGCUCUCCUCAAGGGCCUAACUUUCCUUAUGCGACAGCAUUCUUGGUGGCCAUCUUCAUAGAAAGAGUACAGGCCCUUGUUCCUCACUAAAGCCUGAACUUCAACAGCAUCAGGGAACAUAUACUCAAUACGAAUCCCAUAGUGCUUCUCCA
rnacentral:misc_RNA from 1 species